ensembl:snRNA U2 U2 spliceosomal RNA
AUCGCUUCUCGGCCUUUUGGCUAAGAUCAAUAGUAGUAUCUGUUCUUAUCAGAAUUGUAUCUGUAAAUCAUGUUGAUUCUGUUAAAAGCUAAUUAAAAUUUUAAAAAGCAAGCAACCAAAGAAACAUGCUUUAAGACACCUUCAUCCAAACCUUGAACUUGCAUAUUUUGAUUGUUGAACUAAAG